rnacentral:rRNA from 1 species
GAUGAACGCUAGCGGCAGGCUUAAUACAUGCAAGUCGAGGGGCAGCAGUUUUGUAGCAAUACAGAAGCUGGCGACCGGCAAACGGGUGCGGAACACGUACGCAACCUUCCUUUAACUGGAAGAUAGCCCACCGAAAGGUGGAUUAAUACUCCAUAACAUAUUGAAGAGGCAUCUUUUUGAUAUUAAAGCUCCGGCGGUUAAAGAUGGGCGUGCGUCUGAUUAGGUAGUUGGCGGGGUAACGGCCCACCAAGCCUUCGAUCAGUAGCUGAUGUGAGAGCAUAGUCAGCCACACGGGCACUGAGACACGGGCCCGACUCCUACGGGAGGCAGCGGUAAGGAAUAUUGGGCAGUGGACGCAAGUCUGACCCAGCCAUGCCGCGUGAAGGAUGAAGGUCCUCUGGAUUGUAAACUUCUUUUAUCUGGGGCGAAAACCGGUUAUUCUUAGCCGUUUGACAGUACCAGAGGAAUAAGCACCGGCUAACUCCGUGCCAGCCGCCGCAGUAAAAC